GCCCCCUUAGCUCAAUUGGUCAGAGCAUCUGACUCUUAAUCAGAGGGUUGUAGGUUCGAGUCCUACAGGGGGCA
rnacentral:tRNA from 1 species